rnacentral:tRNA from 1 species
UCGGAAUUGUAAUUUAAAAUUAAAAUAUUAGCAUUGGAAGCUAAAAAUUAGGAUCUAACCUACAUUCCGA